rnacentral:rRNA from 1 species
ACGGGAGGCAGCAGUGGGGAAUAUUGGGCAAUGGGCGCAAGCCUGACCCAGCAACGCCGCGUGAAGGAAGAAGGCUUUCGGGUUGUAAACUUCUUUUAAGGGGGAAGAGGAGAAGACGGUACCCCUAGAAUAAGCCACGGCUAACUACGUGCCAGCAGCCGCGGUAAUACGUAGGUGGCAAGCGUUGUCCGUAUUUACUGGGUGUAAAGGGCGUGUAGCCGGGGGAGCAAGUCAGAUGUGAAAUCUAUGGGCUUAACCCAUAAACUGCAUUUGAAACUGUAACUCUUGAGUGCUGGAGAGAUAGACGGAAUUCCUUUUGUAGCGGUGAAAUGCGUAGAUAUAAGGAAGAACACCAGUGGCGAAGGCGGUCUACUGGACAGUAACUGACGCUGAGGCGCAAAAGCGUGGGGAGCAAACAGGAUUAGAUUCCCU